GUACAUACACAUGAUAGGAUGUAAGUAUGGCUAUUCCAGUAAAGUUAUAGAGGGCUUAUGGAAAAAGGUACUGCAGUCUACAAACAGCUUUGGUCUACCUGAACCCGUGCCUCAGCGAUCUGACACGUCUAACUACCUCAAAGUUGCAUAUGAUAAGAAUGUAGUUCACACCCUUACCAGAGCUUUGAAGAACCAACCGUCUGUAAUAGUUAAGAAGAGAGGCCCACAGUUUUCGAGUUAUUCCGCAACCAUAAGGACCUGAUCGCAGAGGAUAGGAGAGCGGGGAUUGAGAUUUCAUGACCUGUUCUUGUU
rnacentral:lncRNA from 1 species